CACCGGCGGCUCGAGUGGUGGCCACUUUUAUUGGGUCUAAAGCGUCCGUAGCCGGCUUGGCAAGUCCCCUGGGAAAUCUGGCGGCUUAACCGUCAGGCGUCCAGAGGAUACUGCCAGGCUUGGGACCGGGAGAGGUGAGAGGUACCUCAGGGGUAGGGGUGAAAUCUUGUGAUCCCUGAGGGACCACCAGUGGCAAAGGCGUCUCACUAGAACGGGUCCGACGGUCAGGGACGAAAGCUGGGGGCACGAACCGG
rnacentral:rRNA from 1 species